rnacentral:rRNA from 1 species
UACGUAGGGUGCGAGCGUUGUCCGGAAUUAUUGGGCGUAAAGAGCUCGUAGGCGGUCUGUCGCGUCGGUCGUGAAAACUUGGGGCUUAACCCUGAGCUUGCGGUCGAUACGGGCAUGACUGGAGUUCGGCAGGGGAGACUGGAAUUCCUGGUGUAGCGGUGAAAUGCGCAGAUAUCAGGAGGAACACCGGUGGCGAAGGCGGGUCUCUGGGCCGAUAUUGACGCUGAGGAGCGAAAGCGUGGGGAGCGAACAGG